GCUGGGCAUGAUGGCUCAUGCCUGUAAUCCCAGCACUUUGGGAGGCUGAGGUGGGUGGAUCACCUGAGGUCAGGAGUUCGAGACCAGCCUGGCCAACAUGGUGAAACCCCAUCUCUA
rnacentral:SRP_RNA from 1 species